AGGAGUGUAGCUCAAUUGGUAGAGCACCGGUCUCCAAAACCGGCGGUUGUGGGUUCGAGUCCCUCCGCUCCUGCCA
rnacentral:tRNA from 1 species